GAUCAAGCAACCUUGGCCAUUCAAAUGGCCAAGCGAAUGGUUUUCCGUGGCAAGCUAUUAUUGAAUGUUGUCUGUUGGUCUGUCUCUUUGUAUCUAGAUAUGAAACAUUGUGGAUGGAGGAAAUGGAGAUACAAUAGACAACCAUUACUAUCAUUCCAUGGUCAGAGAAUUGGGAUUUAGAAAGAAUGCAGGCAGUGAGACCGUCACUGGCGGAGGCGCGUGCUAUUGAGCACAUAAGCCUUUUGACGCCAGUCGUGCUAGGACUGGAUCACAUGAAGGAUUUUUUUU